rnacentral:rRNA from 1 species
GGGGACCUCGGAGAGUGGCAGACGGGUGAGUAACGCGUGGGGACCUACCUUAAGGUACGGAAUAACAGUUAGAAAUGACUGCUAAUACCGUAUGUGCCCGAGAGGGCAAAGAUUUAUCGCCUUAAGAUGGACCCGCGUUGGAUUAGCUAGUUGGUGAGGUAAUGGCUCACCAAGGCGACGAUCCAUAGCUGGUUUGAGAGGAUGAUCAGCCACACUGGGACUGAGACACGGCCCAGACUCCUACGGGAGGCAGCAGUGGGGAAUAUUGGACAAUGGGGGCAACCCUGAUCCAGCCAUGCCGCGUGAGUGAUGAAGGCCUUAGGGUUGUAAAGCUCUUUCGCUGGGGAAGAUAAUGACGGUACCCAGUAAAGAAGCCCCGGCUAACUUCGUGCCAGCAGCCGCGGUAAUACGAAGGGGGCUAGCGUUGUUCGGAAUUACUGGGCGUAAAGCGCACGUAGGCGGGUCGUUAAGUUAGGGGUGAAAUCCCGGAGCUCAACUCCGGAACUGCCCUUGAUACUGGCGACCUCGAGUUCGAGAGAGGUGAGUGGAAUUCCGAGUGUAGAGGUGAAAUUCGUAGAUAUUCGGAGGAACACCAGUGGCGAAGGCGGCUCACUGGCUCGAUACUGACGCUGAGGUGCGAAAGCGUGGGG